GGCUCAGAUCUGACUUGUAUCUUGUUUUAUUGAAACAGCUCACACACAGGUCUGCAGUCAAACACCAGUACCAGCAAGUGUUCAGUCAGGAGAUCUGUGGCUCUGUGGUAAGAGCGCUGCCCCACGGCUUCAGGGGUUGCUGGUUCAAUGCCAGCCAGAACUCUGCGAUAUGAGUGAAUGAAAUCCCACAACAGCUCGACAGUGAAGAAAAGCUACACCAAAUGCAUAAAUGGAGAGUAACGCGACUCACCUCAGUGAAGAUACACUCUUUUAGCCUGACCACCUUUGACAACAGCGACACCAGAUCAACACAGGUACACCGUUUUACUGGCUUCAAGUUGAGCUCCAGCAGAUGACAGCUCAGUGCCAGACUCAUAAUGUCAGUCAACAGCAGAUAUUACAGCCCGACAGUGAAGAAAAGCCACACCAAGUGCAGAAAUGGAGAGUAACGCGACUCACCUCAGUGAAGAUACACACGUGUGUCUGUUGUGUUUCUGCUGCAGAUCUUUGACCAGAGCUCAACAGCUGACGCUCCUCCACACACUCCUCCACAUCCAGGCAGAUUCACAGCUCCAGUAAAGGUAUUUAUGAGCUCAUAUUUCCAGUAGAGAGUCCAGAAAGUGUGUUUGUUGUGCUGCUGGUCUGUCGCGUGUGUGUUGGGGGAGGGACUUUCUGUGGAAAGCAUUUGAUUGGCCAGAUUUGGUGUCGAGUCCUCAAUACAGUAUGAGGAGAGUUUAGAAGUAAAUGAUGAUAUUUUACAGUGUUUAAUUGUGUUUAGUAACAUUUAAAGCCCCACAAGCAGCUGUAAGAUAAUAUGAAACAUGUUCAUGUGUUUGAUUGAAGAAUAAGCAUGUGUUUCACAUUUUGAAUAGUGAAAUAUAAUAAUAUAUUAGCAGAUGAUGCAGUUUACAUUUAUUUAAAAUAAUUUACAUUUGAUAUGAAUUAUUUGUGUUUAUUUAAUUAUUUUUUUCAAAAUGUGUAGAAUGUGGUUAUCCUCCCACUGGAGAAAGAAAGGUGUGUUUAUGUGUGUGGUGAUGGUGUAGUGGUCAGAGCACACAUCAUGACAGCUGAAGCUGUCACAGCAUACCUGGGUUCAAAUCCAAGCACUGCUGCUGCUUUUUACUGAGGUAGUCAGGAAAAAACCCAAAGUAGUUUAAUGUUUGUGGUCCUGUCCUAAUUGCCUUUCCGUUUGCACUUGCAUUGGUGUGCGCGACACAUCGAUGUAGGUUUCGUACCCAGGCCUCUGCUGUAACCACGUCCACUGCAAAUAUGUGUUCAGCCACUCGCCCAUCAUGACUUUCAGUCUGUCAGCUGCUGUUUGGGCCACACUGUUUGAUUGAAUCCCAGCAACCAAAGGUAAAGUAAGCA